AUCAUCGGCGUAGCCAAUGACCUUGGCCUCGUCGGGUAGGGGAAUCCGCAGCACCCCGUCGUACAUUACCGGGAUAAUUGGCUUGUGGCCUCCAAGCGUUCAUAGCGACGUGGCUUUUUGAUCCUUCGAUGUCGACUCUUCCUAUCAUUUUCAAGCAAAAUUCACCAAGUGUUGGAUUGUUUAACCUUUCAAGGGAAGGUGAGCUGGGUUUAGACCGUCGUGAGACAGGUUAGUUUUACCCUACUGAUGUGUGCUUAUAGUCGCUAUCUUAACGGAAUUCCUGUGCAGUACGAGAGGAACUACAGGUACGGAUCACUGGCUCAAUAUUAGGUACAUAAUGAGAAAUAUUACUGGUACACACGUGUAUUGUUUAAUAAUAAAAGUAUAAAAUAUGCCUCUCCCCAUAAUCCAACUUUGUGUUUUGUUUUGCAAAUCAGGAAGAUAAAUAAUUAAAAAUUAUAUGUAUUUUGAGAGACUUGGAAUGAUUUUUAUAGUCAAUGUCAUAAUAUAUUUACAUUAUUAAAAUAC
rfam:Anopheles gambiae str. PEST whole genome shotgun sequencing project, whole genome shotgun sequence.